AGGCUUCUCAUCCGCAUCCCCGAUUAGUCAUCCCCGAGUGACAUCUGAUAUAUGCGCCCCGGCUCGCUCCGGGGACAGGGCAGCGCGGCUGAUGAUGGAGGGGAGGAAAGGCCGCUCCAGCCGCCUCCGAUUCUUGCUGGAACCCGAGUUUAUGCUGAGUCAAGGAAACCUACUGUGAAAAGUGCCGGGGAAAGACAAGUCCCUUUUUCUAGACAAAUCUUAGAUGCUUCUGGGCUGGGAGCGGGGAGGCCGGCGAGGGGGAGGGGAGACUGAUCGGCGGGUGACUGGCAGGCAACAGGCCAUUCAAGGCACGCUUCGGAUUUGGGGGGAUUGCUGUUAGAGGUGGAGUGUGCUCCCUCCUGUUUAAAGUAUGUAGUUAUCACAGCAGUUACCCUUCCCAGUUUCUCCCGUCUGGAGGGUGGCCCCCCCCCCGGGGGGGGGCAGCCCUGCCUCCCCACCCAGGCCUCCAGAAUCCCAGUUGCGCCCAUGAAUGUUGGAGAACACAGGUGUCCUGGCGGCCGGGUGGCGAAGCCCAGGGUCGACACUAGAUGGGCUCUUACUACACCAGGUUUGGGGGAAUGCAGAGUCAUGGUCUUUGAUCUUUGCAUAAUCCAGUCAAGAUUUGUCCAAUUCGAGAGUCAACCCAGUGGAAAUCAACUGGGGGCUGAAUCAGACUCCUGAUCAUACCUUGAGCAAGCCCUUGCUUCGCAAGCACACUCAUUCCAGCAAAGGCACAACUUAAUUGUGAGGCAGGAAGAAAAGAAAGGAGACAAGGUGUUUCUUAACAGUUACCAAGUGAGGGGAAGGCCAACUUGUUGCUUUCACUGGCAACACUUAACUCCGAAAGCAAUUUCCUCACUUAAAAGAAAAACAAAUGGAGUCGGGUGGUAGGCUUUUGAAAGGAGGAGCAGAGAGUUCGGGUUUGUGGAAACCUGGCUUUAUUUUCCUGGAGGGCCUUGUUAAGACACAUUUGCCUUGAGAUAAAAGGUUUUCUUUUGGGACAAUCCCAAAAUGACUUUGCCUGAUUCAAUUAAGCAAGGCCUAAUGAAAGAGAAUUCCUGCUUGGAGAUAUGCAUCAUCCCACCAGACUCAGGCAGUGGGAAGCUGGUAGAGUCUUGGUCUAUGAACUUUGAACCGUAUGGAGGAAGCUUUGCUCACCAGUCAAGUCCCCUGGUCCCCGCAUGAAGAUACCUGCUUGGGUCUCUAGACAGGAUGACUCCCCAGGGAUGCUGGCAGCUGGAAAUCCAGUUACCAGAAAAUGUUUUGUAAAUAAGGAUCGAAACUUCUUCCAUUGAUGGUCCAGAUAUGUCCGAAGUUCCGAGUUAACCUGACGGCUCAGACGCAGACAGGCAUAGCCACGCAUCCUCAAGAGGAGCGGUGCUCUUUCUGGCAAAUACACCACCCCUCCCCCUAAAGAAAAACAGUCUAAUUAUGCAGUGUGACUGUCAACCUUAAUCAGAUUAUACAGAAAGUAUUCAACUCCAUUUCAUUUUAUGGCACAAAUAAAGCCGAAGGGGAGGCGAGAGUUUCUGGCUUCCCCUAAAAU